rnacentral:rRNA from 1 species
UCGAGGGCUUUACUGUCUCUUACUUCCAAUCCGUGAAAUUGACCUUCCCGUGAAGAGGCGGGAAUAUGACAAUAAGACGAGAAGACCCUAUGGAGCUUUAAUUAACCGACCCAAAGAGAUCUUGAUAAUCAACCGACAGGGAUAACAUACCUCUACCAUGGGCCGACAAUUUAGGUUGGGGUGACCUCGGAGAAUAAAACAACCUCCGAGUGAUUUAAAUCUAGACUAACUAGUCGAAAGUACUACAUCACUUAUUGAUCCAAAAACUUGAUCAACGGAACAAGUUACCCUAGGGAUAACAGCGCAAUCCUAUUUUAGAGUCCAUAUCGAC